AUUGGGACUGAGACACGGCCCAAACUCCUACGGGAGGCAGCAGUGAGGAAUAUUGGACAAUGGGGGCAACCCUGAUCCAGCAAUGCCAUGUGUGUGAAGAAGGCCUUAGGGUUGUAAAGCACUUUAGUUGGGGAAGAAAGCUUUGAGGUUAAUAGCCUUGAGGAAGGACGUUACCCAAAGAAUAAGCACCGGCUAACUCCGUGCCAGCAGCCGCGGUAAUACGGGGGAUGCAAGCGUUAAUCGGAAUUACUGGGCGUAAAGGGUCUGUAGGUGGUUUGUUAAGUCAGAUGUGAAAGCCCAGGGCUCAACCUUGGAACUGCAUUUGAUACUGGCAAACUAGAGUACGGUAGAGGAAUGGGGAAUUUCUGGUGUAGCGGUGAAAUGCGUAGAGAUCAGAAGGAACACCAAUGGCGAAGGCAACAUUCUGGACCGAUACUGACACUGAGGGACGAAAGCGUGGGGAUCAAACAGGAUUAGAUACCCUGGUAGUCCACGCUGUAAACGAUGAGUACUAGCUGUUGGAGUCGGUGUAAAGGCUCUAGUGGCGCAGCUAACGCGAUAAGUACUCCGCCUGGGGACUACGGCCGCAAGGCUAAAACUCAAAGGAAUUGACGGGGACCCGCACAAGCGGUGGAGCAUGUGGUUUAAUUCGAUGCAACGCGAAGAACCUUACCUGGUCUUGACAUCCUGCGAGCUUUCUAGAGAUAGAUUGGUGCCUUCGGGAACGCAGUGACAGGUGCUGCACGGCUGUCGUCAGCUCGUGUUGUGAAAUGUUGGGUUAAGUCCCGCAACGAGCGCAACCCCUAUUGAUAGUUACCAUCAUUAAGUUGGGUACUCUAUUGAGACUGCCGCUGACAAGGCGGAGGAAGGUGGGGACGACGUCAAGUCAUCAUGGCCCUUACGACCAGGGCUACACACGUGCUACAAUGGGUAUUACAGAGGGC
rnacentral:rRNA from 1 species